rnacentral:rRNA from 1 species
UACGAGAGGCCCAACCGUUAUUCGGAAUUACUGGGCUUAAAGAGUUCGUAGGCGGCGCGGAAAGUCGGGUGUGAAAGCCCUCGGCUCAACCGAGGAAUUGCGCUCUAAACUACCGUGCUUGAGGGACCUAGAGGUGAGCGGAAUUCCUGGUGUAGCGGUGAAAUGCGCAGAUAUCAGGAGGAACACCGGUGGCGAAGGCGGGUCUCUGGGCCGAUACUGACGCUGAGGAGCGAAAGCGUGGGGAGCGAACAGG